rnacentral:tRNA from 1 species
GGUAGCUCAGUGGUAGAGCAGUUGACUGUUAAUCAAUUGGUCGCUGGUUCGAAUCCGGCC